rnacentral:rRNA from 1 species
UACGGAGGGUGCAAGCGUUGUCCGGAUUUAUUGGGUUUAAAGGGUGCGUAGGCGGCCCGUUAAGUCAGUGGUGAAAGCCUCCAGCUCAACUGGAGAACUGCCAUUGAUACUGACGGGCUUGAGUACAGCCGAGGUUGGCGGAAUUGAUUGUGUAGCGGUGAAAUGCAUAGAUACAAUCAAGAACUCCGAUUGCGUAGGCAGCUAACUAGGCUGUAACUGACGCUGAGGCACGAAAGCGUGGGGAGCGAACAGG